GACGAACGCUGGCGGCGUGCUUAACACAUGCAAGUCGAACGGAAAGGCCCUGCUUUUGUGGGGUGCUCGAGUGGCGAACGGGUGAGUAACACGUGAGUAACCUGCCCUUGACUUUGGGAUAACUUCAGGAAACUGGGGCUAAUAUCGGAUAGGAUCUCCUGCUGCAUGGUGGGGGUUGGAAAGUUUCGGCGGUUGGGGAUGGUCUCGCGGCUUAUCAGCUUGUUGGUGGGGUAGUGGCUUACCAAGGUUUUGACGGGUAGCCGGCCUGGGAGGGUGACCGGCCACAUUGGGACUGAGAUACGGCCCAGACUCCUACGGGAGGCAGCAGUGGGGAAUAUUGCACAAUGGGCGGAAGCCUGAUGCAGCAACGCCGCGUGCGGGAUGACGGCCUUCGGGUUGUAAACCGCUUUCGCCUGUGACGAAGCGUGAGUGACGGUAAUGGGUAAAGAAGCACCGGCUAACUACGUG
rnacentral:rRNA from 1 species